UGGUAACGUCACAGUUCAAGUCUAUUAAACUUAAACCUUUCCUCCCAACUGAAAGUGCUUUACAACCCGCAGGCCUUCUUCACACACGCGGCAUUGCUGGAUCAGGCUUGCGCCCAUUGUCCAAUAUUCCCCA
rnacentral:rRNA from 1 species